rnacentral:rRNA from 1 species
GAUGAAUGCUGGCGGCGUGCCUAACACAUGCAAGUCGAGCGGAAGCGCGGGGUGCUUGCACCCUGUCGGCGAGCGGCGAACGGCUGAGUAACGCGUAGGAAUUUUCCCCAAAGUGAGGAAUAACUGCCCGAAAGGGUAGCUAAUGACGCAUAUGGUCUUUGGAUUAAAGGAUUUAUUCGCUUUGGGAGAUGCCUGCGUUGGUUUAGGUUGUUGGUAGGGUAAUGGACUACCAAGCCGACGAUCCAUAGCUGGUCUGAGAGGAUGCGCAGCCAGACUGGAACUGGGACACGGUCCAGACUCCUACGGGAGGCAGCAGUGAGGAAUCGUGCACAAUGGGCGAAGGCCUGAUGGAGCAACGCCGCGUGAAGGAUGAAGGCCUUCGGGUUGAAAACUGCUUUUAUGAGUGAAGAAUAUGACGGUAACUCAUGAAUAAGCACCGGCUAACUACGUG